CGACAUCAGCUGCUCCAUAAGUUCCCACACGAAUUAACUGACGACAUCAGCUGCUCCAUAAGUUCCCACACGAAUUGCUUGAUUCAUUGAAGAAGACGAAAGAAGCAGCCCGAAAUUGGGUCUGUAGCUCAGUUGGUUAGAGCGCACCCCUGAUAAGGUGGUAACGGAUCAGGCUAAGGUAAAAUUUGUGAGUUCUCUUAACUGAGAAAUUCGAAUUUUCGGCGAAUGUCGUCUUCACAGUAUAACCAGAUUGCUUGGGGUUAUAUGGUCAAGUGAA
rnacentral:misc_RNA from 1 species